rnacentral:rRNA from 1 species
GGAUUAGAUACCCUGGUAGUCCACGCCCUAAACGAUGCGAACUGGAUGUUGGGUGCAACUAGGCACUCAGUAUCGAAGCUAACGCGUUAAGUUCGCCGCCUGGGGAGUACGGUCGCAAGACUGAAACUCAAAGGAAUUGACGGGGGCCCGCACAAGCGGUGGAGUAUGUGGUUUAAUUCGAUGCAACGCGAAGAACCUUACCUGGCCUUGACAUGCACGGAACUUUCCAGAGAUGGAUUGGUGCCUUCGGGAACCGUGACACAGGUGCUGCAUGGCUGUCGUCAGCUCGUGCCG